AGAUUAAGAGGCAUAGAUUUUGCUGCAUCCAAAUCUACUCUAACUUCAGCAAGUUACGGGAUUUACUUCGGUCCCUCUGAUCAAACCGUUAAUGCCAAAUCCAACUUCAAACUAAAAGCAUUUACCAAAUAUUGCGAGCCAACCUCAGGAUACAAGGCGCCAAUGAAUUACUGAAAACCAUGUACAAUAUUAUUCGGCAGAAAAAUUCACAAGCGAUAGAGGAGAGGUUGUUCCGCCUUAAAGAAAG
rnacentral:lncRNA from 1 species